rnacentral:rRNA from 1 species
UGAGGGAAAGGCGAAAAGAACCCCGGCGAGGGGAGUGAAAAAGAACCUGAAACCGUGUACGUACAAGCAGUGGGAGCCCCACCACUAAGCCAGUGGUGAACUCCACAUACGCAUCCUUUGCUGAGGAUACGGUUAACGGAGCGAAAGCGACGUUCAACCGCAAAAGAAGCAGAGGGGGCUUAGUGGUGGGGUGACUGCGUACCUUUUGUAUAAUGGGUCAGCGACUUAUAUUCUGUAGCAAGGUUAACCGAAUAGGGGAGCCGGAGGGAAACCGCGUAAUAGCUCACUGGUCGAGUCGGCCUGCGCGGAAGAUGUAACGGGGCUAAACCAUGCACCGAAGCUGCGGCAGCGAACGUAUCACUUAAAGCGAUUCAGCGGGUUACGAUUGACGGAGCGAAGCGACGUCAAAGCGUAUACAAAGUCGAGUCGGUUUAAGGAUACGUUCGUUGGGUAGGGGAGCGUUCUGUAAGCCUGUGAAGGUGGCCUGUGAGGGUUGCUGGAGGUAUCAGAAGUGCGAAUGCUGACAUAAGUAA